rnacentral:rRNA from 1 species
AUUGAACGCUGGCGGCAGGCCUAACACAUGCAAGUCGAGCGGAUGAAGGGAGCUUGCUCCUGGAUUCAGCGGCGGACGGGUGAGUAAUGCCUAGGAAUCUGCCUGGUAGUGGGGGAUAACGUCCGGAAACGGGCGCUAAUACCGCAUACGUCCUGAGGGAGAGAGUGGGGGAUCUUCGGACCUCACGCUAUCAGAUGAGCCUAGGUCGGAUUAGCUAGUUGGUGGGGUAAAGGCCUACCAAGGCGACGAUCCGUAACUGGUCUGAGAGGAUGAUCAGUCACACUGGAACUGAGACACGGUCCAGACUCCUACGGGAGGAAGCAGUGGGGAAUAUUGGACAAUGGGCGAAAGCCUGAUCCAGCCAUGCCGCGUGUGUGAAGAAGGUCUUCGGAUUGUAAAGCACUUUAAGUUGGGAGGAAGGGCAGUAAGUUAAUACCUUGCUGUUUUGACGUUACCAACAGAAUAAGCACCGGCUAACUUCGUG